UACGUAGGGUGCAAGCGUUAAUCGGAAUUACUGGGCGUAAAGCGUGCGCAGGCGGUUAUGUAAGACAGGUGUGAAAUCCCCGGGCUUAACCUGGGAACUGCAUUUGUGACUGCAUAGCUAGAGUACGGUAGAGGGGGAUGGAAUUCCGCGUGUAGCAGUGAAAUGCGUAGAUAUCUGGAGGAACACCGGUGGCGAAGGCGGCAUCCUGGACCGACACUGACACUGAGGAGCGAAAGCCAGGGGAGCAAACGGGG
rnacentral:rRNA from 1 species